AUGAACGCUGGCGGCGUGCCUAACACAUGCCAGUCGAACGGAGAUUACGGACGGAAGUUUUCGGAUGGAAGACUGUAAUUCUUAGUGGCGGACGGGUGAGUAACGCGUGGGCAACCUGCCCUAUACAGGGGGAUAGCAGCUGGAAACGGCUGGUAAGACCGCAUAAGUCGGUUAAAUCGCAUGAUUUGAUCGGGAAAUGAGCAAUCAGGUAUAGGAUGGGCCCGCGUCCGAUUAGCCAGUUGGCAGGGUAAAAGCCUACCAAAGCGACGAUCGGUAGCCGGACUGAGAGGUCGGACGGCCACAUUGGGACUGAGACACGGCCCAAACUCCUACGGGAGGCAGCAGUGGGGGAUAUUGCACAAUGGAGGAAACUCUGAUGCAGCGACGCCGCGUGAGUGAAGAAGUAUUUCGGUAUGUAAAGCUCUAUCAGCAGGGAAGAUGAUGACGGUACCUGACUAGGAAGCCCCGGCUAACUACGUG
rnacentral:rRNA from 1 species